rnacentral:rRNA from 8 species
AUGUCCUUUUGAAUUUAAUUUAAGGUCUAAUCUGCUCAAUGAUUAAUUAAAUUGCCGCAGUAUUUUGACUGUGCAAAGGUAGCAUAAUAAUUAGUUUCUUAAUUAGAAGCUGGAAUGAAUGAUUGGACAAGAAAAUUUCUGUCUCUAUUUAAUUGUUUAUUGAAUUUUAUUUUUAAGUUAAAAAGCUUAAAUUUUUGUAAAAGACGAGAAGACCCUAUAGAGUUUAAUAUUUUGAUUUUAUUUUAUUAUAGAAUUUUUUUUAAUUUCGGAAUAUUUAGUUGGGGUGACUUAAGGAUUAAUAAAAUUCUUUAAUUAUAUAAUUGAUGAUAUUUAAAUUUUAAAUCUAUGUUAUUAAAUUUAAUAUAAAUUACCUUAGGGAUAACAGCGUAAUUUUUCUUUAGAGUUCUUAUUAAAAGAAGAUUUUGCGACCUCGAUGUUGGAUUAAAAUUAAUUUUUGGUGCAGUAACUUAAAAAUUAGGUCUGUUCGACCUUUAAAAUUUUACAUGAUCUGAGUUUAAACCGGUGUAAGCCAGGUUGGAUUCUAUCUUUAGAUGUGUUAAUAUAUUUUAGUACGAAAGGACCAAAUAUAUAUUAAAUUAAUUG